UUUUUUUUAAUAUAUGUAGCUGGACAACUCAGCCAGUCAGCACAUUUAGCUCUUCAACUGCCAUACAAUGUACUUGGGUUAGGUCGAAGUGCAAAUUUUCUUGACCAUCUUUAUGUUGGUAUUCCCCGUCCAUCCGGAGAGAAGACUGUACGAAAACAAGAGUGGACUGCAAUCAUUCCAAAUUCCCAACUAAUUGUCAUUCCAUAUCCUCACAAUGUUCCUCGAAGCUGGAGUGCCAAACUGUACCUUACACCAAGUAACAUUGUUCUACUCACUGCUAUAGCACUCAUCGGUGUCUGUGUCUUCAUCUUGGCAAUAAUUGGCAUUUUACAUUGGCAGGAAAAGAAAGCAGAUGAUAGAGAAAAGCGGCAAGAAGCCCAUCGGUUUCAUUUUGAUGCUAUGUGACAUGCCUUUAACACUACAUAAUGGAGCGUCUAUUCACUUGAUUAACUGAAGUACUAAAUUUGGCUUAUAGAAGAAAUAGGGGAUUUUGGAUAUUAUUUAUAAAUGAUGCAUCCCUUGGUAAUUAUUGGAAAGUAUUCAAAUAAAUAUGGUCUGAAUGUAUCACAAGAUCUUUUUUUAAAGCACUUUGUAUACAAUAAUUUGGGUUCUUUAUUCAAUUGUGCUGUACAUUUUUGUUUCUUUGUGGAAUGUGUUGCAUGUACUCAGGUGUUUAUGUAUUUAUAAUCUUAUUAGAAUAAUGAUGAUGGGAAAAGACAUGUAAAUAAAAAUAUUUAAAUGAGCAGGAUUUUCUGUAUUCCACUUGAAUUAGUCUUGCUUCUUCUUCAAUGAUGCAAAUUAUACUUUUGUGAAUGUAUCACAGAUAAGGUUAUUAACAUUUACCUUCAUUAUAGCAGGUCUGGGGCCUCUCACUCACCACACUGGAUAUAAUGACGGGUGCUCUGGCUUUGGAAUCAUAGACAGACCGGCCUUAAACUUGUGGUUCUGCCACUUACAAGUUGAUUGAACUGGCUAAUUGCUUAACUUCUGUAAGCCUCAGUUUUCUUGUUUAUCCAAGGGAGCUAAUACAUAAGUUCACUUGAGUCACUGUAAGCAUUAAAUAGAAUGACAUAGGUAAAGUACUCGCUUGGUACCUGGCACAGCAUAAGUUGUCAAUCCAUGGUAGUAGUCAUCAUUCCUAUUUUUAGAAAACUUUUUACAGACUCUACAACUAAUUAUCAAAAAAUAUAAACUUGGGAUAAAUUUAUUAGGCCAAAGGAAAUCAUAUUCUUUGGAAAACCUAAAUUCUUGGUAGUUGACAACUUAAAGAUUUAUUGCUUGGCCAUAUUAGCUAAAAAAUAAUAGUACCCUCCAAGAAUUAACAUGCUCUAAAAUUUUUCAUUUGAACACUGAUAUGUGAUAAUGAAGAGAGUUUGAUAUGUUGAAAGGAUUCUGCUGUAGUCAGCAUCUGGGAAUGCAAAUCUUUCAUCACAUUUCUCAAAAGCUUGUAGGAGUCUAUAAUUUACAUUCAGAGUUCAAUGCAAAUUUUUGUGAACGUAACCUUGCCAAAAAGUGACUUUUAGACUUAAGUCUAAGAUUGGAGGGAAAAAAAGUUUAUACAUCAGUGUUAAUAAUUUUCUAAUAUGCAAAUGGACAUGUGAUGGCUGUAAAACAUAAAACUUAUCUGAAAACAGUUUUGUUCUUCAUGUUAUUUUCUUUACAGUUCACUGAGGAUGGCAUGUGUAAUAAGUGGUUACUUUGUGUAUCUAAGCAUGUUAAUGUCUUAAUAAAUACUCUUUACUGAAAAC